GACGAACGCUGGCGGCGUGCUUAACACAUGCAAGUCGAACGAUGAAGAAAAGAAUCGAAGCUUCGGCAGAAAUUCAUUUCGGAUUAGUGGCAGACGGGUGAGUAACGCGUGAGCAACCUACCUCUUACAAAGGGAUAGCCUCGGGAAACCGGGAUUAAUACCAUAUAACAUUGUGACGAAGCAUUUCGAUGCAAUCAAAGCUACGGCGGUAAGAGAUGGGCUCGCGUCCCAUUAACCGGAUGGUGAGGUAACGGCUCACCAUAGUGACGAUGGGUAACCGGCCUGAGAGAGUGAACGGUCACACUGGAACUGAGACACGGUCCAGACUCCUACGGGAGGCAGCAGUGGGGAAUAUUGCACAAUGGAGGGAACUCUGAUGCAGCGACGACGCGUGAGUGAUGAAGGAAUUCGUUUCGUAAAACUCUGUUCUAUGGGAAGAAAAGGACUGUACCAUAGGAGAAAGCUCCGGCUAAAUACGUG
rnacentral:rRNA from 1 species